AUUGAACGCUGGCGGCAGGCUUAACACAUGCAAGUCGAGCGGGGUGAUGGUGCUUGCACUAUCACUUAGCGGCGGACGGGUGAGUAAUGCUUAGGAAUCUGCCUAUUAGUGGGGGACAACAUCUCGAAAGGGAUGCUAAUACCGCAUACGUCCUACGGGGGAAAGCAGGGGAUCACUUGUGACCUUGCGCUAAUAGAUGAGCCUAAGUCGGAUUAGCUAGUUGGUGGGGUAAAGGCCUACCAAGGCGACGAUCUGUAGCGGGUCUGAGAGGAUGAUCCGCCACACUGGGACUGAGACACGGCCCAGACUCCUACGGGAGGCAGCAGUGGGGAAUAUUGGACAAUGGGGGAACCCUGAUCCAGCCAUGCCGCGUGUGUGAAGAAGGCCUUAUGGUUGUAAAGCACUUUAAGCGAGGAGGAGGCUCUUUUGGUUAAUACCCAAGAUGAGUGGACGUUACUCGCAGAAUAAGCACCGGCUAACUCUGUGCCAGCCGCCGCGGUAAGAC
rnacentral:rRNA from 1 species